GAGUGGCGAACGGGUGAGUAACACGUGGGUAACCUGCCCAGAAGUAGGGGAUAACACCUGGAAACAGAUGCUAAUACCGUAUAACAGAGAAAACCGCAUGGUUUUCUUUUAAAAGAUGGCUCUGCUAUCACUUCUGGAUGGACCCGCGGCGUAUUAGCUAGUUGGUGAGGUAAAGGCUCACCAAGGCAGUGAUACGUAGCCGACCUGAGAGGGUAAUCGGCCACAUUGGGACUGAGACACGGCCCAGACUCCUACGGGAGGCAGCAGUAGGGAAUCUUCCACAAUGGACGCAAGUCUGAUGGAGCAACGCCGCGUGAGUGAAGAAGGGUUUCGGCUCGUAAAGCUCUGUUGUUAAAGAAGAACGUGGGUAAGAGUAACUGUUUACCCAGUGACGGUAUUUAACCAGAAAGCCACGGCUAACUACGUGCCAGCAGCCGCGGUAAUACGUAGGUGGCAAGCGUUAUCCGGAUUUAUUGGACGUAAAGCGAGCGCAGGCGGUCUUUUAAGUCUAAUGUGAAAGCCUUCGGCUCAACCGAAGAAGUGCAUUGGAAACUGGGAGACUUGAGUGCAGAAGAGGACAGUGGAACUCCAUGUGUAGCGGUGAAAUGCGUAGAUAUAUGGAAGAACACCAGUGGCGAAGGCGGCUGUCUGGUCUGCAACUGACGCUGAGGCUCGAAAGCAUGGGUAGCGAACAGGAUUAGAUACCCUGGUAGUCCAUGCCGUAAACGAUGAUUACUAAGUGUUGGAGGGUUUCCGCCCUUCAGUGCUGCAGCUAACGCAUUAAGUAAUCCGCCUGGGGAGUACGACCGCAAGGUUGAAACUCAAAAGAAUUGACGGGGGCCCGCACAAGCGGUGGAGCAUGUGGUUUAAUUCGAAGCUACGCGAAGAACCUUACCAGGUCUUGACAUCUUCUGACAGUCUAAGAGAUUAGAGGUUCCCUUCGGGGACAGAAUGACAGGUGGUGCAUGGUUGUCGUCAGCUCGUGUCGUGAGAUGUUGGGUUAAGUCCCGCAACGAGCGCAACCCUUAUUACUAGUUGCCAGCAUUAAGUUGGGCACUUUAGUGAGACUGCCGGUGACAAACCGGAGGAAGGUGGGGAAGACGUCAAAUCAUCAUGCCCCUUAUGACCUGGGCUACACACGUGCUACAAUGGAUGGUACAACGAGUCGCGAAACCGCGAGGUUAAGCUAAUCUUUUAAAACCAUUCUCAGUUCGGACUGUAGGUUGCAACUCGCCUACACGAAGUCGGAAUCGCUAGUAAUCGCGGAUCAGCAUGCCGCGGUGAAUACGUUCCCGGGCCUUGUACACACCGCCCGUCACACCAUGAGAGUUUGUAACACCCAAAGCCGGUGGGGUAACCUUUUAGGAGCUAGCCGUCUAAGGUG
rnacentral:rRNA from 1 species